GGGGGCGUAGCUCAGUGGCAGAGCAGGGGACUCUUAAUCCCUUUGUCCCGGGUUCGAGUCCCGGCGCCCUCA
rnacentral:tRNA from 1 species